AGAGACAGCAGUAGCCGCGGGAAUACGUAGGUGGCAAGCGUUGUCCGGAAUUAUUGGGCGUAAAGGGCUCGCAGGCGGUUUCUUAAGUCUGAUGUGAAAGCCCCCGGCUCAACCGGGGAGGGUCAUUGGAAACUGGGAAACUUGAGUGCAGAAGAGGAGAGUGGAAUUCCACGUGUAGCGGUGAAAUGCGCAGAGAUGUGGAGGAACACCAGUGGCGAAGGCGACUCUCUGGUCUGUAACUGACGCUGAGGAGCGAAAGCGUGGGGAGCGAACAGGAUUAGAUACCCCUGUAGUCCCUGUCUCUUAUAC
rnacentral:rRNA from 1 species